rnacentral:lncRNA from 1 species
AGAAAACAAGUAAAAGGGUUUGAAAUUGUGAUUCCUACAUGAGAGAGGGAAAUAGAAGCAGAGGGAGUUGUGAAAUGUAAAUACUUUUAAACUUCCUUUCAUAGAAGUUGAAGUUGUAUUUGUGCUCAUGCUGUGUUGGGAGUGGCAUUGAAGCAGUGAGCAUUGCAAAUACCUUUUACUUCUGACAUUACAUUUUCCUCCUUAGAUUUCCAUUUAUUUAUAAAAUUUGCAGAGGCAGGAUGGUGUAGCCUGUCACCUGAC